rnacentral:sRNA from 14 species
AAAUGGGUAGACGUCCCCUUCCUCCCUUAUCACUUUGUGUGCAACCCUCCCAAAGAUGCAUGCUCAGUGGAAACGUGUGUGGAACCUGGGCAAGUUCCCUGCAGAAGAGGACCAGUCUUUGAUCAAGGUUCAUUUGAGUAGCUGCAGACACACUCCCAGGGAUCUGAUAAGACUGACUAGGAAAACAGUUAGACUCAGGAGUUUCCGUGGGACUUUUAACACCU